rnacentral:ncRNA from 2 species
UGCAGCUACUAGGGGUGCCCCGAAUGUGUGGGCUGAGAGGAAAGCGCGUUAUAGCUUUCUGACUCUUAUGGACCUGAUCUGGUUAAUGCCAGCGGAGGGAAGUAGGAUUUGACUAUA